CUGGGCGGCUUGCGCGGCGCCACCGCGCCGGCCGCAAUCGGGGGAUCGUUCCGUCUGACCGAUCAGGCCGGGCAAACGGUCACCGAAAAAAAUCUCAUCGGCCGCCCGAGCAUCAUCUUUUUCGGCUUUACGCANGCCCGGAUGUUUGCCCGACAGCACUGUUCGAGAUGUCCGAGGUUCUGCGCGCCAUGGGCCCCGAUGCGGGCAAGCUGAACGCGUAUUUUGUGUCCGUCGAUCCCGAACGCG
rnacentral:misc_RNA from 1 species